GUGCGUGAGAAAUCAAACAAGUCGGAAGUCACUUGCCGUUGGUGCUUACAUACGCUGCUGUCCCGGUUUUUGUUAUUGUAUCUGAACGAUUUUUUUUUAAAUCUAAUAAAAUUAAAGUACAUAAAAACAAAUAGUGCCAUACAUAUAAAAUCAAAAAAAAAAAACCCAAAUAGAAAAAAAUAUUAAAAACGCGUAAAAUUUCCAAACAACUAACUGUCAGUUUGUCAACAUUUCAAUUAAACAUAAUAUUGUUAU